rnacentral:rRNA from 1 species
UUCGCGCCGGCUGCGGGUGGGUCGCAAUUUUGGCAUCAACUGGUUAAAGUCCGGCCGAUCUUUCAGUCCCUUGUAAAAUUUGUAGUUAGGAACGGUAAGUCUACGCGAUUUUGGCUUGAUUGGUGGGUCGGGGACUCCACGCAGGCUGUUGCUUUUCCGGUUCUAUUUUCAUAUUGCGAUGAUACUGAGGUUUCUAUCUUUGAGCUCUCGGCUAGGGGUUGGGUUCUGGAUUUUCGUCGUUCUCUUUCUCCUGAAGAGUUGGAAGAUUGGCAGCGCCUUACUGCUUGCUUCCCCCUGCUCUCGGAGGAAGAG